rnacentral:lncRNA from 1 species
UAUUUUUGUGUUUAGGCUGCCUGUUUUAAUUUUGGGCAUGGGGGCGUGUAUGGUAAGAACUGCCUUUGCUUAUAAAUAAGCUCAUGUUUAGGCCUUAUCUCUUGAUACUUAAUUGUUGAUGUUGACUUAGUAAUUUGUUGUUCUUGAGCAUCUACUAUAACUUCACUAAAUGGCUAUGCUGGUUGUUGCUUACGUGAUUCACUAGCUAGAAAGGGGUCAAAUAGUGUGUUAUUCACAAUUGCUUUUGCAUUUAGCUUCUGUUUGGAUAAAUGAUUCAUUUACCAUACAUUAAUUAACAUAUUGUAGUUAUUUACAUGAAUUAAGUUAUUUACAUAUUGUAG